UGCAAGUUUGNGUGUACCUAUGCAUGGAUU
rnacentral:piRNA from 1 species